GAGCACACUGGUUGCUGCUUGCUAUCAACCCUAUAAGGGAAGUCGUGUAUUAUCUGAAUUCGGUAAAUGGUGAAUGGACCAAUUAUCCGGCCAUGAAGGACAUCGUUGAUUUAUCAAUACAAGUGUUCCGAAGUCAACGGGACGCACAGGUAUCCCGAACUAAAUCUAGCAACAUUACUUGGAUCCAAGUGCAGUGCCCGCAACAGAAAAACAGUUACGAUUGCGGAUACUUUGUAUUGAGGUUUAUGAAAGAAAUCCUUCAGGCAAAUCAAUUAGAGAUUCCGAUCACGU